UCUUAUGGAUAAACAAAGAAAGAGGUUUCUUGAAAUAGAAGCUAUUCCUGGUGAAGAUGCUGUGAA
rnacentral:pre_miRNA from 2 species